rnacentral:rRNA from 1 species
GACGAACGCUGGCGGCGUGCUUAACACAUGCAAGUCGAGCGGAAAGGCCCUUCGGGGUACUCGCGCGGCGAACGGGUGAGUAACACGUGAGUAACCUGCCCCAGACUUUGGGAUAACCCUCGGAAACGGGGGCUAAUACCGGAUACGACACAGCUUCGCAUGGGGUCUGUGUGGAAAGUUUUUCGGUUUGGGAUGGGCUCGCGGCCUAUCAGCUUGUUGGUGGGGUGAUGGCCUACCAAGGCGACGACGGGUAGCCGGCCUGAGAGGGCGACCGGCCACACUGGGACUGAGGCACGGCCCAGACGCCUACGGGAGGCAGCGGUGGAGAGUAUUGCACAAUGGGCGGAAGCCUGAGACAGCGACGCCGCGUGAGGGAUGACGGCCUUCGGGUUGUAAACCUCUUUCAGCAGGGACGAAGCGUAAGUGACGGUACCUGCAGAAGAAGCGCCGGCCAACUACGUG